UACGGAGGGUGCGAGCGUUGUCCGGAAUCAUUGGGCGUAAAGGGCGCGUAGGUGGUGGCUUAAGCGUGCGGUGAAAGCUCGGGGCUCAACCCCGAGUCGGCCGUGCGAACUGGGCUCACUGGAGCAUAGUAGAGGCAGGUGGAAUUCCGGGUGUAGCGGUGGAAUGCGUAGAGAUCCGGAAGAACACCGGUGGCGAAGGCGGCCUGCUGGGCUAUGGCUGACACUGAGGCGCGACAGCGUGGGGAGCAAACAGGG
rnacentral:rRNA from 1 species